rfam:Alligator mississippiensis ScZkoYb_24, whole genome shotgun sequence.
AUGUAUUCUUGGCUUUGAGAACUGAAUUCCAUGGGUUGUAAUUGAAUCUUGAACAGACCCAUGGGGCUCAGUUCUUCAGCUUGGAUAUCUCUG